rnacentral:rRNA from 1 species
CCUACGGGCGGCAGCAGUGGGGAAUAUUGGACAAUGGGCGAAAGCCUGAUCCAGCCAUGCCGCGUGUGUGAAGAAGGCCUUCGGGUUGUAAAGCACUUUCAGUGGGGAAGAAAGCCUUGGGGCUAAUACCCUCGAGGAAGGACAUCACCCACAGAAGAAGCACCGGCUAACUCCGUGCCAGCAGCCGCGGUAAUACGGAGGGUGCGAGCGUUAAUCGGAAUUACUGGGCGUAAAGCGCGCGUAGGCGGCCUGAUAAGCCGGUUGUGAAAGCCCCGGGCUCAACCUGGGAACGGCAUCCGGAACUGUCAGGCUAGAGUGCAGGAGAGGAAGGUAGAAUUCCCGGUGUAGCGGUGAAAUGCGUAGAGAUCGGGAGGAAUACCAGUGGCGAAGGCGGCCUUCUGGACUGACACUGACGCUGAGGUGCGAAAGCGUGGGUAGCAAACAGGAUUAGAUACCCCGGUAGUC